UAUGCUUGUCUCACAGAUUAAGCCAUGCAAGUCUAAGUACGAGCUCUCGUUCAGUGAAACUGCGAAUGGCUCAUUAAAUCAGUUAUGGUUCAUUUGAUCGUACAGUUUACUUGGAUAACUGUGGUAAUUCUAGAGCUAAUACAUGCGAGAAGCGCCGACCUCGCGGGAGGCGUGCAUUUAUCAGACCAAAAACCGGCCGCGUCUUCGGGCGCGUUCGCCUUGGUGACUCUGGAUAACUUUGCGGAUCGCACGGUCUAGCACCGGCGACGGAUCAUUCAAGUGUCUGCCCUAUCAACUUUCGUCGGUACGGUAUUUGCCUACCGAGGUUCUUACGGGUGACGGGGAAUCAGGGUUCGAUUCCGGAGAGGGAGCCUGAGAAACGGCUACCACAUCCAAGGAAGGCAGCAGGCGCGCAAAUUACCCAUUCCCGACGCGGGGAGGUAGUGACGAAAAAUAACAAUGCAGGACUCGUUCGAGGCCCUGUAAUUGGAAUGAGUACACUUUAAAAGCUUUAACGAGUAUCCAUUGGAGGGCAAGUCUGGUGCCAGCAGCCGCGGUAAUUCCAGCUCCAAAAGUAUAUAUUUAAGUUGUUGCGGUUAAAAAGCUCGUAGUUGGAUUUUGGGCGCAGGCGGCCGGUCCGUCGCAAGGCGUGUACUGGACGUCCUGGCCUUCCCUCCGGUUCUCCGCCGGUGCUCUUGACUGAGUGUCGGCGGCGGCCGGAACGUUUACUUUGAAAAAAUUAGAGUGUUCAAAGCAGGCUCUCGAGCCUGGAUAAUGGUGCAUGGAAUAAUGGAAUAGGACCUCGGUUCUAUUUUGUUGGUUUUCGGAGCGCGAGGUAAUGAUUAAGAGGGACAGACGGGGGCAUUCGUACUGUGCCGUUAGAGGUGAAAUUCUUGGAUCGGCGCAAGACGAACGACUGCGAAAGCAUUUGCCAAGAAUGUUUUCUUUAAUCAAGAGCGAAAGUCAGAGGUUCGAAGACGAUCAGAUACCGUCCUAGUUCUGACUAUAAACGAUGCCAACUAGCGAUCGGGGGGCGUUACAUUGACGACCC
rnacentral:ncRNA from 1 species